UACAGAGGUCCCAAGCGUUGUUCGGAUUCAUUGGGCGUAAAGGGUGCGUAGGCGGCUUUCUAAGUCGGAUGUGAAAACUCUGGGCUCAACCCAGAGCCUGCAUCCGAAACUGGAGAGCUAGGGUUCUGGAGGGGAAAGCGGAAUUCCUGGUGUAGCGGUGAAAUGCGUAGAUAUCAGGAGGAACACCGGUGGCGAAGGCGGCUUUCUGGACAGAUACCGACGCUGAGGCACGAAAGCUAGGGGAGCAAACAGG
rnacentral:rRNA from 1 species